rnacentral:rRNA from 1 species
AACGAACGCUGGCGGCAGGCUUAACACAUGCAAGUCGAACGCACCGCAAGGUGAGUGGCAGACGGGUGAGUAACACGUGGGAACGUCCCCCUCGGUUCGGAAUAACUCAGGGAAACUUGAGCUAAUACCGGAUACGUCCGAGAGGAGAAAGAUUUAUCGCCGAGGGAUCGGCCCGCGUCUGAUUAGCUAGUUGGUGAGGUAAUGGCUCACCAAGGCGACGAUCAGUAGCUGGUCUGAGAGGAUGAUCAGCCACACUGGGACUGAGACACGGCCCAGACUCCUACGGGAGGCAGCAGUGGGGAAUAUUGGACAAUGGGCGCAAGCCUGAUCCAGCCAUGCCGCGUGAGUGAUGAAGGCCUUAGGGUUGUAAAGCUCUUUUGCCAGGGAAGAUAAUGACUGUACCUGGAGAAUAAGCCCCGGCUAACUUCGUGCCAGCAGCCGCCGUAAUAC